ensembl:rRNA 5S_rRNA 5S ribosomal RNA
GUCUACGACCAUACCACCCUGAACGUGUCCCAUCUUGUCUGAUCUCGGAAGAUAAGCAGGGUAGGACCUGGUUAGUACUUGGAUGGGAGACUGUCUCUGAAUACCGUGUGCUGUUGUCU